GAGAAUGCUACAAGUAGAGGGGGAAAAAAACCGUCAACCCUUUUUAUUUAGUUAUUUUUGCUGUCAUUAAUUCUGUUUGGCAACAGGUUUGGAAUCACAUUUUUUUUUAAUUUUUUUUUUGGUCUGUUUGGAUACACAUUGUCCUUCUCUUUUAAUAGUAUAGACUAGAGUCGGAUCCGCGCUACAGCGCGAAGGAAAAGUUUUGAGUUAUUUUUUUGAGAAAUUGAUAUCAAUAACCUUUUUAUGAUACCCUCUUUUAAAAAUACCUCUUUUUUGCCAUUUUCAUUUUUGCCCUCAUUUAAAUUGUAAUGACCAUUUUAGCCCUAGUUGAAAAAAUAUUCCUUCCCAAAAGGAAAGGAAUAUUCCUUCCAAAAAUUUUCCGCCCAAAGAUUUCAUGCCAAAAAAGUUUCUGAGAAAAAUUUUCCCGCCAAAAAAAUUUCCGCAAAUCUUUUCACGCAAAAAAAAAUAUUUUUACAAAAUAUUCCCGCCAAAUUUUUUAAAGGGUUUACAAGAUUUUUUAAAGGGUUUACAAGGGUUUUAAUGGGAUUUACAAGAGUUUUUAAAUGGUUUUUAAAAGAUUUGUAAUGGAUAAUUUUUAGUUAUUUUUACUAUUAAAAUAUGGUUUUUAAAAGAUUUCUAGUCUAUACUAUUAAAUAUAGAUAAUUUUUAGUUUUUAUUUAGUUAUUUUUCCUGUCAUUAAUUCUGUUUGGCAACAGGUUUGGAAUCAUAUUUUUUUUUUAAUUUUUUUUUGGUCUGUUUGGAUACACAUUGUCCUUCUCUUUUAAUAGUGUAGACUAGAGUCGGAUCCGCGCUAUAGCGCGAAGGAAAAGUUUUGACUUAUUUUUUUGAGAAAUGAAUAUCAAUAACCUUUUUAUGAUAUCCUCUUUUAAAAAUAAUCUCUUUUUGCCAUUUUCAUUAUUGCCCUCCUUUAAAUUGUAAUGACCAUUUUAGCCCUAGUUGAAAAAAUAUUCCUUCCCUUUGGGAAGGAAUAUUCCUUUCAAAAAUUUUCCCCCCAAAGAUUUCCUGCCAAAAAAGUUUCCGAGAAAAAUUUUCCCGCAAAAAUUUCCGCAAAUAUUUUCCCGCAAAAAAAAAUAUUUUUACAAAAUUUUCCCGCAUAAUUUUUUAAAGGGUUUACAAGAUUUUUUAAAGGGUUUACAAGGGUUUUAAUGGGAUUUAAAAGAGUUUUUAAAUGGUUUUUAAAAGAUUUGUAAUGGAUAAUUUUUAGUUAUUUUUACUAUUAAAUAUGGUUUUUAAAAUAUUUCUAGUCUAUACUAUUAAAUAUAGAUAAUUUUUAGUUUUUAUUUAGUUAUUUUUGCUGUCAUUAAUUCUGUUUGGCAACAGGUUUGGAAUCACAUUUUUUUUUAAUUUUUUUUUUGGUCUAUUUGGAUACACAUUGUCCUUCUCUUUUAAUAGUAUAGACUAGAGACGGAUCCGCGCUACAACGCGAAGGAAAAGUUUUGACUUAUUUUUUUGAGAAAUUGAUAUCAAUAACCUUUUUAUGAUACCCUCUUUUAAAAAUACCUCUUUUUGCCAUUUUCAUUUUUUCCCUCAUAUAAAUUGUAAUGACCAUUUUAACCCUAAUUGAAAAAAUAUUCCUUCCCAAAAGGGAAGGAAUAUUCCUUCCAAAAAUUGCCCCCCCAAAGAUUUCCUGCCAAAAAAGAUUCCGAGAAAAAUUUUCCCGCCAAAAAAAUUUCCGCAAAAAUUUUCCCGCAAAAAAAUAUAUUUUUACAAAAUUUUCCCGCCAAAUUUUUUAAAGGGUUUACAAAAUUUUUUAAAGGGUUUACAAGGGUUUUAAUGGGAUUUACAAGAACUUUUAAAUGGUUUUUAAAAGAUUUGUAAUGGAUAAUUUUUAGUUUUUUUUACUAUUAAAUAUGGUUUUUAAAAUAUUUUUAGUCUAUACUAUUAAAUAUAGAUAACUUUUAGUUUUUAUUUAGUUAUUUUUGCUGUCAUUAAUUCUGUUUGGCAACAGGUUUGGAAUCACAUUUUUUUUUAAUUUUUUUUUUGGUCUGUUUGGAUACACUUUGUCCUUCCCUUUUAAUAGUAUAGACUAAAGUCGGACCCGCGCUACAGCACGAAGGAAAAGUUUUGACUUAUUUUUUUGAGAAAUGGAUAUCAAUAACCUUUUUAUGAUACCCUCUUUUAAAAAUACUCUCUUUAUGCCAUUUU
rnacentral:lncRNA from 1 species